UACGUAGAAUAUUGAAUGUAGGUGGAGAC
rnacentral:piRNA from 1 species